GGGUCUCCCAAGUUUCGGGGUGGGGGUGAAUAGCCAGCCAAGCCACAGAUCCUCUGGGAGCAGAUCAGCUCCGGACCUGCCAAAACAGACAGUCCAGUGCCCGGGAAAUUUACAAGGUCCCGCAGCUUGGCGGGCAGCACCAGCCCGACGGCCGCUUUCGCCACCAGAUAGACCAUCUGGAGAGGGAACACCACCAACGCGCCCAGCCAUUUCCACACCAUCCUCCGCGCCGCGGAGCCGGGCAGGGCGGGGGGCGAAACUCCCCGAGCCGGACAAAACAGGAAUCGAAAAAGAAAACACCUCCAAACAAUAAUAAAUACACGGAAUGAGGGGCAGACAGGAGUCCCACCUGGCCACUCUGGAAACCACCUCUUCCCAAGUGCAAGGCACCGGGUGAGAAAAAGAGGGGAAAAAAAAGAAAAAGAAAAGAGAAAUCCUCUUGGGGAGGAGAAAAAGCGUCUCCGAAGGUUGGGACAGUGAGAGGGGUGGAGGGGAAGCCGGAGGUGGGAAGUUCUAACAAGAAGUUUCUUGCCCCGGCCGCCGCUUCGGCUGGGGAAUUCGCAGGUAAUGUUUACAGGCUGACAGAGGAGUUUAGGCAGGGGAAGGGGGGGAAAAGGGCACCAACCACACGCGCGUACCCUGCUGCAGGCCCGCGGUUUCAAAGUGCAAGAUGAAAAAAAAAAAAAA